AUGCUCACUCUGGCAGCACAUAUACUAAAACUGGAAUGGUACAGAGAAGAUUAGCAUGGCCCCGGCAAGGAUGGCAUGCAAAUUUGUGAAGCGUUCCAUACUCAA
ensembl:snRNA U6 U6 spliceosomal RNA